AGGAAUCUGCCUGGUAGUGGGGGAUAACGCUCGGAAACGGACGCUAAUACCGCAUACGUCCUACGGGAGAAAGCAGGGGACCUUCGGGCCUUGCGCUAUCAGAUGAGCCUAGGUCGGAUUAGCUAGUUGGUGAGGUAAUGGCUCACCAAGGCGACGAUCCGUAACUGGUCUGAGAGGAUGAUCAGUCACACUGGAACUGAGACACGGUCCAGACUCCUGCGGGAGGCAGCAGUGGGGAAUAUUGGACAAUGGGCGAAAGCCUGAUCCAGCCAUGCCGCGUGUGUGAAGAAGGUCUUCGGAUUGUAAAGCACUUUAAGUUGGGAGGAAGGGCAGUUACCUAAUACGUAAUUGUUUUGACGUUACCGACAGAAUAAGCACCGGCUAACUCUGUGCCAGCAGCCGCGGUAAUACAGAGGGUGCAAGCGUUAAUCGGAAUUACUGGGCGUAAAGCGCGCGUAGGUGGUUCGUUAAGUUGGAUGUGAAAUCCCCGGGCUCAACCUGGGAACUGCAUUCAAAACUGACGAGCUAGAGUAUGGUAGAGGGUGGUGGAAUUUCCUGUGUAGCGGUGAAAUGCGUAGAUAUAGGAAGGAACACCAGUGGCGAAGGCGACCACCUGGACUGAUACUGACACUGAGGUGCGAAAGCGUGGGGAGCAACAGGAUUAGAUACCCUGGUAGUCCACGCCGU
rnacentral:rRNA from 1 species